UCAGGGGCCAAAAGCCAAGGAGGAAAAAGAACAAAAGGGUGAAGAAAGGACCGCGUUCUCCUACUCAGGACAGAGUAUCUUCUGCUCCCUUCUGUUGGAGACAACAGCCCGAUUAAGCAAGGGAAGUUGCCCUGCUUCUCCUCACGUCCCUAGAAGCUUAUCUUGAAUCGGACCUUAAUUGCGACGUCUGGCCUAAUUUAGUGCUGGCCUGUGUUGGGUUCCGCUCGGAUUAACACUCAUUUGACAGCCGGGCCUGAGACGAAAGAGGCAGCAGCCGCCCACUCCCCAGGGAAGAUUCAGCGGCCUCGCUGGAACUUUGAGCUCCGCCCACGCACUACAUCUCCCAGCAGCGCCUGCGGCGUUCGCACCCUGCUACACAGACUACAACUUCCAAGAGGCCCCGCGCCGCCGGAGAGCUAGCGAGUGUGGUCGGUGGUUGGGACGGGCGGUGUUCAAGCUCCAUCGCUAUUAACCCUAUAGGGGAGUCUGACUGCGUCCUUCCAAAGAGGGCGCCCCUUGAGGGGCGGGCAGGGUUGUGCCUGGCAGAGCGGGAAGCCAAAACCCUGAGCGAAUGUGGGGGAUAAGGGCGUGUAAAGGGAGCGAGCCAGGUCCCCGCGCUGGGCAGAACCGACCUUAUCAUUCCGAGGGCUUCUCUGCUCAAAGGUUUCCUGGCCGCCUUUGACACUGACGGGCCUCUGAGGGCCUGAGCCGGGCGGGCCCUCCACUUGUUAGCGGUCUCUGAUCGCUGAAGAUAGGAAGCCGAAAACCCGAGCUGAGAACGAACAGACUUACCUCCUGGCCCGCAAAAGAUCCACUAGACCGCCGGCUCCAAGAUCCGCGAGGCCCCAAGCAGAUUCCAAAUCCGCAGGCAGAGUUCUUUUGAGACUUCAGGAGUUCGGCAAGGUUCUAGAAAUCACUACUGGCAGAUUCCGGAUAUCUCAGACCUGCAGGUAGAUCUCGAAUCCGCCGACUUGCAGGCAAAGCCCAGAGAUUCCCAAAGACUCACACAGAUUCCGAGACCUCAGACUCUCAGGCAGCCCAGAAACCACAGGCUCAGAGGCAGGUCCCCCAGAGACCACAGAGGCUAGCCAAGAAACACCACCAGCAGCUAAGCUGCAUGCAGCUGGAUUUCUUCCGAACGGAAGGACUUGCCCCCUUCCCUUUCCCCAGCCAGGAUGAGAAAAUUAGACAAUGGAAGCCCAGCACUAGGAAAAGAAGGCAUUCUGCGUGGAGAAGCGCUCUGAGCUCGCUGUAGCCUUGGAGAGGGAAGUGAUGGAAAAAGAAUAUAGCAGCUUAUUAGGGACUCCCACCCUCUUCAAGUUAUAAAUAUCCCCAGAACCUUGGCUACGUGCCCAGAAGCCUGUUGUCUCUAACUGUACAGGAGACUUCUCUGCCUGCGCUGGGAAAGGGGCUUUUCUUUUGUUUUGCAGAUACAUCUACCCACUGGGUGACUUGAAUUUUUUUUCUCGAACAUGACUCCAGGCUGUGCUUUUAUUAGUGGGUGUCUGUUCCCAGUGCCAGUUAUUUAUGGUUAAAUUACUCAAGUGUCUGAAAAGAACUAGGACUCUACCCAGCCAUGAGGCAGACUCUCCCACUCCACACCCCCAACGGCCUGGCUGGGGGCAGGGCGACUCUCUAAACCCUGCUUGGCUGCUUGCCUCCUUCUGUGAUUACGAUGGCUUAGUGCUUUCUCUUUGUUCUUCCUCAACUUGUUCACUGAAAUCCUGGCUGGCAGUUCUAUCAGCAGAACUACAAAACCAAAAAGGCAACAGAAUUUUAGAGCUUUUCCUGCGCCACCCAAGGAGGCUGGGGGAGGGGGAGGGGACAUGAAAAAGAAGGUAGGGUCUGGAGCCACACAGACCAGAGGCCAAA